rnacentral:rRNA from 1 species
AACGAACGCUGGCGGCAUGCCUAACACAUGCAAGUCGAACGAGAUCUUCGGAUCUAGUGGCGCACGGGUGCGUAACGCGUGGGAAUCUGCCCUUUGGUUCGGAAUAACAGUUGGAAACGACUGCUAAUACCGGAUGAUGACGAAAGCCCAAAGAUUUAUCGCCAGAGGAUGAGCCCGCGUAGGAUUAGCUAGUUGGUGUGGUAAAGGCGCACCAAGGCGACGAUCCUUAGCUGGUCUGAGAGGAUGGUCAGCCACACUGGGACUGAGACACGGCCCAGACUCCUACGGGAGGCAGCAGUGGGGAAUAUUGGACAAUGGGCGAAAGCCUGAUCCAGCAAUGCCGCGUGAGCGAUGAAGGCCUUAGGGUUGUAAAGCUCUUUUACCCGGGAUGAUAAUGACAGUACCGGGAGAAUAAGCUCCGGCUAACUCCGGGCCAGCCGCCGCGGUAA